ACGGGUGGCUCUCGGUCAAGAGGGGGAAACCAACCCUAGAUUGGAUCUUUCUUCUCCUCACUCACGAGCUGGGCCUCUGAUCGCCGGAAUACCUAGUCCCAGUUAUUCCCUGGCUUGACGAGGAGGAUUUGCCACAGGAAGAUCCCUACCACAGCAAUGGAUCUCCGGCAUAAACAAGUUAUUGGAUCAAUCCUUAUAGCACCAUCCCUGGUUUCAACAGCAAUUCCACCAGUGGUCACUGUGAAUUUGGGUUUCUUGUCUCCUCUGUUUAUGCCGGACCAGCUGCAGAUGGGUGGGGAAACUCCAUC